rnacentral:rRNA from 1 species
UCGAGAAUCUUCCGCAAUGGGGGAAACCCUGACGGAGCGACGCCGCGUGCGGGAUGAAGGCCUUCGGGUUGUAAACCGCUGUCGAGGGGGAGCAAAUUUUGAGUGAACCCUGGAGGAAGCACCGGCUAAACUCGUGCCAGCAGCCGCGGUAAUACGAGUGGUGCAAACGUUAUUCGGAAUCACUGGGCUUAAAGGGUGCGUAGGCGGCUACAAAAGUCAGGUGUGAAAUCCCUCGGCUCAACCGAGGAACUGCGCUUGAAACUUUGUGGCUCGAGGGAGACAGAGGUGAGCGGAACUGAUGGUGGAGCGGUGAAAUGCGUUGAUAUCAUCAGGAACACCGGUGGCGAAAGCGGCUCACUGGGUCUUUUCUGACGCUGAGGCACGAAAGCUAGGGGAGCAAACGGGAUUAGAUACCCCGGUAGUCCUAGCCGUAAACGAUGAGCACUAGUCUGUAGGGACCCCCACAUCCCUUCGGACGUAGCGAAAGU